UACGUAGGGGGCUAGCGUUGUCCGGAAUCAUUGGGCGUAAAGCGCGUGUAGGCGGUCCGGUAAGUCCGCUGUGAAAGUCGGGGGCUCAACCCUCGAAUGCCGGUGGAUACUGUCGGGCUAGAGUGCGGAAGAGGCGAGUGGAAUUCCUGGUGUAGCGGUGAAAUGCGCAGAUAUCAGGAGGAACACCGGUGGCGAAGGCGGGUCUCUGGGCCGAUACUGACGCUGAGGAGCGAAAGCCAGGGGAGCGAACGGG
rnacentral:rRNA from 1 species